UGGGGAAUAUUGCACAAUGGGGGAAACCCUGAUGCAGCGACGCCGCGUGAGCGAAGAAGGUUUUCGAAUCGUAAAGCUCUGUCCUAUGAGAAGAUAAUGACGGUAUCAUAGGAGGAAGCCCCGGCUAAAUACGUGCCAGCAGCCGCGGUAAUACGUAGGGGGCUAGCGUUAUCCGGAUUUACUGGGCGUAAAGGGUGCGUAGGUGGUCUUUCAAGUCGGUGGUUAAAGGCUACGGCUCAACCGUAGUUAGCCUCCGAAACUGGAAGACUUGAGUGCAGGAGAGGAAAGUGGAAUUCCCAGUGUAGCGGUGAAAUGCGUAGAUAUUGGGAGGAACACCAGUAGCGAAGGCGGCUUUCUGGACUGCAACUGACACUGAGGCACGAAAGCGUGGGUAGCAAACAGG
rnacentral:rRNA from 1 species